rnacentral:rRNA from 1 species
ACGAACGCUGGCGGCGUGCUUAACACCUGCAAGUCGAACGGAAAGGCCCUGCUUUUGUGGGGUGCUCGAGUGGCGAACGGGUGAGUAACACGUGAGUAACCUGCCCUUGACUUUGGGAUAACUUCAGGAAACUGGGGCUAAUACCGGAUAGGAGCUCCUGCUGCAUGGUGGGGGUUGGAAAGUUUCGGCGGUUGGGGAUGGACUCGCGGCUUAUCAGCUUGUUGGUGGGGUAGUGGCUUACCAAGGCUUUGACGGGUAGCCGGCCUGAGAGGGUGACCGGCCACAUUGGGACUGAGAUACGGCCCAGACUCCUACGGGAGGCAGCAGUGGGGAAUAUUGCACAAUGGGCGGAAGCCUGAUGCAGCAACGCCGCGUGCGGGAUGACGGCCUUCGGGUUGUAAACCGCUUUCGCCUGCGACGAAGCGUGAGUGACGGUAAUGGGUAAAGAAGCACCGGCUAACUACGUG